rnacentral:lncRNA from 1 species
UAGAGAGCCAUAUCACCUUUCACAAAAGGUUGGGUGACAUAUGACCUUGAAAAAUGACAACCGGAAGUGACCUUGAGAGAACCGGAAGUUGCCAUUUUUGCACUUUUUUCAUGAAGUCGGAAUUCAUAUAUGUUGUCAUUUAAAUACAUUAACCUAUCAUUCAAGACUACAAAUGACUUUCGAUCAACCGGAAGUGGCCAAUUAGCUAUUGAUUUAACGGCUAUAGUAUAUAUAAACUAUAUAGUUUUGGAAUCAGUGUGAAACAAGCUAUCAUAUGAGACCAGAAUAAACAUUUACCUCACCGGAAGUAGCAAAUUAUCUCCCUUAUUUCACUCAAAAGUAUAUCAAAACUACUUAUGUAUCGCAUCAGUAUAUAGUUACUAGCUUCUUUUCAAAAUUUCUUUCAUGUGGAAAGACCUUCAAUUGUUCUCUGAACAAUUGGUUUUUAAUUAUACAUAUAUAUUUUUGUCAUUAUGAAAUUCUUAUUUCUGAUCCGCCGUUCUCAAAAUCAGAUAUAAGAGAACCAAAAUGUAAUGAACAAUAAGCUGGAAAUAACACCACAAAAGUGUCCAAAAACUGCAUAAAGAUUACGCUUGAACACACAAACCUGUGAAUUUGGGUUAAUUUGAAUUUAACAAAUUUGACAGUUGUUAAGUAACAAUUUGAAAUAUGAAAUA